rnacentral:rRNA from 1 species
UACGGAGGGUGCAAGCGUUGCUCGGAAUUAUUGGGCUUAAAGGGUAGGUAGGUGGUCUCGUUUGUCAGGGGUGAAAGCCUUGGGCUUAACUCAAGAAGUGCCCCUGAAACGGCGAGACUCGAGUACUGGAGAGGCUAGUGGAAUUCCCGGUGUAGCGGUGAAAUGCGUAGAGAUCGGGAGGAACACCAGAGGCGAAGGCGGCUAGCUGGACAGUUACUGACACUCAACUACGAAAGCGUGGGGAGCAAACAGG